AACGAACGCUGGCGGCAGGUCUUAGGCAUGCAAGUCGAACGGGUGUAGUAAUACACCAGUGGCGAACGAGUGAGUAACGCGUGGGAAUCUGCCCAUCUCUGGGGAAUAACGUUUGGAAACGAACGCUAAUACCGCAUACGCCCGCAAGGGGAAAGAUUUAUCGGAGAUGGAUGAGCCCGCGUUGGAUUAGUUAGUUGGUGGGGUAACGGCCUACCAAGGCGAUGAUCCAUAGCUGGUCUGAGAGGACGAUCAGCCACGAUGGAACUGAAAUACGGUCCAGACUCAUACGUGAGGCAGCAGCUAAGAAUAUUGGGCAAUGGAGGAAACUCUGACCCAGCCAUGCCGCGUGAAUGAAGAAGGCCUUCGGGUUGUAAAGUUCUUUUAGUCGUGACGAUGAUGACGGUAGCGACAGAAAAAGCACCGGCUAACUUCGUGCCAGCCGCCGCAGUAA
rnacentral:rRNA from 1 species